rnacentral:rRNA from 1 species
CCUACGGGUGGCAGCAGUGAGGAAUAUUGGUCAAUGGGCGUAAGCCUGAACCAGCCAAGUCGCGUGAGGGAUGAAGGUUCUAUGGAUCGUAAACCUCUUUUGUCGGGGAGCAAAGAGAGUCACGUGUGACUCAUUGAGAGUACCCGAAGAAAAAGCAUCGGCUAACUCCGUGCCAGCAGCCGCGGUAAUACGGAGGAUGCGAGCGUUAUGCGGAUUUAUUGGGUUUAAAGGGGUCGCAGGGGGAGGUGCAAGUCAGCGGUCAAAUUGCGGGGCUCAACCCCGGACUGCCGUUGAAACUGCAUCCCUUGAGUGCGCGAGAAGUAUGCGGAAUGCGUGGUGUAGCGGUGAAAUGCAUAGAUAUCACGCAGAACUCCGAUUGCGAAGGCAGCAUACCGGCGCGCAACUGACGCUCAUGCACGAAAGCGUGGGUAUCGAACAGGAUUAGAUACCCGAGUAGUC